rnacentral:rRNA from 1 species
AUUGAACGCUGGCGGCAGGCUUAACACAUGCAAGUCGAGCGGAGAUGAGGUGCUUGCACCUUAUCUUAGCGGCGGACGGGUGAGUAAUGCUUAGGAAUCUGCCUAUUAGUGGGGGACAACAUUCCGAAAGGAAUGCUAAUACCGCAUACGUCCUACGGGAGAAAGCAGGGGAUCUUCGGACCUUGCGCUAAUAGAUGAGCCUAAGUCGGAUUAGCUAGUUGGUGGGGUAAAGGCCUACCAAGGCGACGAUCUGUAGCGGGUCUGAGAGGAUGAUCCGCCACACGGGGACUGAGACGCGGCCCAGACUCCUACGGGAGGCAGCAGUGGGGAAUAUUGGACAAUGGGGGGAACCCUGAUCCAGCCAUGCCGCGUGUGUGAAGAAGGCCUUUUGGUUGUAAAGCACUUUAAGCGAGGAGGAGGCUACUGAGACUAAUACUCUUGGAUAGUGGACGUUACUCGCAGAAUAAGCACCGGCUAACUCUGUGCCAGCCGCCGCGGUAAUAC